AAACAGAGUUACAACAUUUACAAAGGUCUGCUGUGAUUUAAUGCUUCCCUCAGCAGGAACAGCACUGGCAGUCAAUUAAAAUGCUGAAGGAGAAAUUAAGUGAAGGAGCAGAUGAACCAAGCAGAUGAAAGACAACGUAGCAAACUGAGCCCUAAUUGCUGUACUCAUAAAUGCUCAGUCAGGAAUGAAAGUACUGUGGUUCCAAAAUAAGACUGCCCAAGUUCAGAGAGCUUCAGAAGAGGAGUUCAGGCUCAGAACUGAAUUUGUCAAUUAUUCACAGGACAUUGUGGUACUGGCACAGGGAGGAAAAGAGGCCAGAGCUGAUGAUCAAAGGUUUAUUAAGAUUUCCACGAUGGAAAAUCUUUGGUGUUGGCAUGCUGGAAUUGGAAGUGAUGCGUUGGCACAGCUGUCAGCUCCCACGACCUGUAAAAAUAAAAGCAAAUUUU
rnacentral:lncRNA from 1 species